GCGACAAUUAUGACCUCUCGAGAGAAUCCACGACUGCAAUUACGACUAACUUUUAUUGGAUUUCUUUUCCAAUUCAAAGCUGAUAGUUGCCUAAUGCAAACGUUACCAGAGACGGACAUUUUCUACCACCACAAGACAACCCAACAAAGCGAAAAAGAGAAAUGUUACACCACAUCAUAUAUGUACAUAUCAUGCAUGCAACCUAAGCCAUCACUUCUCACAUUUUACAAAUUAAUAGAAGUAGCUCUUUGAAGAUCUUCAAUCUACUGACCUCAAGAAUUACUGAUUCUAACAGAUUAGAUAAUGAGAUUGAAGUUUACGUAAAUCAAGUGUCACAUCUUCUGUCAGUUUAUGUAUCUUCAAGCUCUAAGGUGGCAUUGAAUCCAAAUUCAGUUCCAACAGUAAACGAUGAUUUGAGUUCAUCGGCAGUUUGGGUGGUGCUAAUCUUGUUAUCCUUCACUGACAAGUUCUCCUGUAGAAUUCUACUGGCCUCAAGAAUUACCGAUUCUAACAGAUUAGAUAAUGAGAUUGAAGUUUACGUAAAUCAAGUGUCACAUCUUCUGUCAGUUUAUGUAUCUUCAAGCUCUAAGGUGGCAUUGAAUCCAAAUUCAGUUCCAACAGUAAACGAUGAUUUGAG
rnacentral:lncRNA from 1 species